UACGGAGGAUGCGAGCGUUAUCCGGAUUUAUUGGGUUUAAAGGGUGCGUAGGCGGUCCGUUAAGUCAUCGGUAAAAUUGCGGGGCUCAACCCCGUCGAGCCGUUGAAACUGGCAGACUUGAGUUGGCGAGAAGUACGCGGAAUGCGCGGUGUAGCGGUGAAAUGCAUAGAUAUCGCGCAGAACCCCGAUUGCGAAGGCAGCAUGCCGGCUUCCGACUGACGCUGAAGCACGAAAGCGUGGGGAUCGAACAGG
rnacentral:rRNA from 1 species